UACGUAGGGCGCAAGCGUUGUCCGGAAUUAUUGGGCGUAAAGAGCUCGUAGGCGGUCUGUUACGUCCGCUGUGAAAACCCAGGGCUUAACCCUGGGCUUGCAGUGGAUACGGGCAGACUAGAGGUAGGUAGGGGAGAAUGGAAUUCCCGGUGUAGCGGUGAAAUGCGCAGAUAUCGGGAGGAACACCGGUGGCGAAGGCGGUUCUCUGGGCCUUACCUGACGCUGAGGAGCGAAAGCGUGGGGAGCAAACAGG
rnacentral:rRNA from 1 species